UCUGGCUCAGGAUGAACGCUAGCGACAGGCUUAACACAUGCAAGUCGAGGGGCAGCAUAGAAGUAGCAAUACUUGGUGGCGACCGGCGCACGGGUGAGUAACGCGUAUGCAACCUACCUAUCAGAGGGGAAUAACCCGGCGAAAGUCGGACUAAUACCGCAUAAAACAGGGGCACCGCAUGGUGAUAUUUGUUAAAGAAAUUCGCUGAUAGAUGGGCAUGCGUUCCAUUAGGUAGUUGGUGAGGUAACGGCUCACCAAGCCGACGAUGGAUAGGGGAACUGAGAGGUUGGUCCCCCACACUGGUACUGAGACACGGACCAGACUCCUACGGGAGGCAGCAGUGAGGAAUAUUGGUCAAUGGGCGGGAGCCUGAACCAGCCAAAGUCGCGUGAAGGAAGAAGGAUCUAUGGUUCGUAAACUUCUUUUGCAGGGGAAUAAAGUGCGGGACGUGUCCUGUUUUGUAUGUACCCUGAGAAUAAGGAUCGGCUAACUCCGUGCCAGCCGCGGC
rnacentral:rRNA from 1 species